GAAGGUGCCAGAAAGAUCCAAAACAAGUGGCUGCGGCCGUCGCCCAGGAGUCAUCGGACGCCAGAAUCUGUGUCUCCAGAACGCUAUAGCUAUGGCACCUCCAGCUCUUCAAAGAGGACAGAGGGUAGCUGCCGUCGCCGUCGGCAGUCAAGCAGUUCUGCAAAUUCUCAGCAGGGUCAGUGGGAGACAGGCUGGAGUGCAAUGGCACAAUCUCGGCUCACCGCAACCUCCGCCUCCCGGGUUCAAGCGAUUCUCCUGCCUCAGCCUCCUGAGUAGCUGGGAUUACAGGCUCCCCCCCAACCAAGCGGCAGCGGCGGAGUCGGGGCCGGCCCAGUGGUGGUGCCAGACGGCGGCGGAGAGGGGCCCCAGCCGCACCCCAGCAGCAGUCAGAGCCCGCCAGACCUUCCUCUGAAGGCAAAGUGACCUGUGGCUGUACAAGAAGCAGGGUGCCAGCAUCUGCUUCUGUUGAGGACCUCCGGAAGCUUCCAUUCAUGGUGGAAGGCCAAGGGGAGCAGGCUUGUCACAUGACAUCCGGCUCCGGGUUCGAGCAGAGUACUGCGAGCAUGGGCCAGCCUUGGAGCAGGGCGUGGCAUCCCGGCGGCCCCAGGCGCUGGCGCGGCAGCUGGACGUGUUUGGGCAGGCCACCGCAGUGCUGCGCUCAAGGGACCUGGGCUCUGUGGUUUGUGACAUCAAGUUCUCAGAGCUCUCCUAUCUGGACGCCUUCUGGGGCGACUACCUGAGUGGCGCCCUGCUGCAGGCCCUG
rnacentral:lncRNA from 10 species